rnacentral:rRNA from 1 species
AGUGAACGCUGGCGGUAGGCCUAACACAUGCAAGUCGAACGGCAGCACAGUAAGAGCUUGCUCUUACGGGUGGCGAGUGGCGGACGGGUGAGGAAUACAUCGGAAUCUACUUUUUCGUGGGGGAUAACGUAGGGAAACUUACGCUAAUACCGCAUACGACCUACGGGUGAAAGCAGGGGAUCUUCGGACCUUGCGCGAUUGAAUGAGCCGAUGUCGGAUUAGCUAGUUGGCGGGGUAAAGGCCCACCAAGGCGACGAUCCGUAGCUGGUCUGAGAGGAUGAUCAGCCACACUGGAACUGAGACACGGUCCAGACUCCUACGGGAGGCAGCAGUGGGGAAUAUGGGACAAUGGGCGCAAGCCUGAUCCAGCCAUACCGCGUGGGUGAAGAAGGCCUUCGGGUUGUAAAGCCCUUUUGUUGGGAAAGAAAAGCAGCAGGUUAAUACCCCGCUGUUCUGACGGUACCCAAAGAAUAAGCACCGGCUAACUUCGG